GUMCSCSAYKGMAAGCGUUAUCCGGAUUCACUGGGCGUAAAGCGCGUGCAGGUGGUUCGGUAAGUUGGACGUGAAAUCUCCUGGCUUAACUAGGAGAGGUCGUUCAAUACUACCGGACUUGAGAGUGGUAGAGGAAGAUGGAAUUCCCGGUGUAGUGGUGAAAUGCGUAGAUAUCGGGAGGAACACCAGUGGCGAAAGCGAUCUUCUGGACCAUUUCUGACACUCAGACGCGAAAGCUAGGGUAGUAAACGGGAUUAGAGACCCCGGUAAUCCUAGCCGUAAACGAUGUAAACUUGGCGUCGGUGGCUUAAACUCCAUCGGUGCCGCAGCUAACGCGAUAAGUUUACCGCCUGGGGACUACGAUCGCAAGAUUA
rnacentral:rRNA from 1 species